CUAAAGUGGAUACCCUAGGAGGUCAUUCUCUCCAGGCUCUGUUCAAGUGGUGUAGUGGAGCCCCAUGAUGUGCAGUCCCUUUCUACAAUGUUUGAGAUGAAGCUGGGUUUGGAAUCCACCUACAUAUUCCUAAGGCUUCUCUGAGUUCUGUGGAUAGUGACUGAGGAGACAAACCAUGCUAGAAACAAUC
rnacentral:snoRNA from 1 species